GCCGCUCGUACUCAUGCGCGCGCUUAACUGAGUCACUGCUGGUGGGACCCGCACAUUGGUCGCUCCGCGCGCCACCGCGCUUCUAACAUAUGGGGCCGCUUGGCCAGCCGCACCACGUGCCGCUCACACCCGAUCUCGCAAGCUUCCACUGAUUGCCCAGACCCGCGUGCGAGCCUCCGUGCGCGGUUCACCGUUUCUCCGUCGCUGUCGUGUGCCACUGCAUGUGGACCUAGCAUGUCAGUGGCUCUUCCCGCGCGAAUCUCUUGUUCC
rnacentral:lncRNA from 7 species